rnacentral:rRNA from 1 species
UCCCAGACUCCUACGGGAGGCAGCAGUGGGGGAUAUUGCACAAUGGGGGAAACCCUGAUGCAGCGACGCCGCGUGGGCGAAGAAGUAUUUCGGUAUGUAAAGCCCUAUCAGCAGGGAAGAAGAAAUGACGGUACCUGAGUAAGAAGCACCGGCUAAAUACGUGCCAGCAGCCGCGGUAAUACGUAUGGUGCAAGCGUUAUCCGGAUUUACUGGGUGUAAAGGGAGCGCAGGCGGCACGGCAAGCCUGAUGUGAAAGCCCGCGGCCCAACCGCGGGACUGCUUUGGAAACUGUUAAGCUGGAGUACUGGAGAGGCAAGCGGAAUUCCUAGUGUAGCGGUGAAAUGCGUAGAUAUUAGGAGGAACACCAGUGGCGAAGGCGGCCUGCUGGACAGAGACUGACGUUGAGGCUCGAAAGCGUGGGGAGCAAACAGGAUUAGAUACCCUUGUA